CACUGGCCUCUAGCGGUUAAGCAGCGGGUCAAAGCUCUCAAAAACCUCCAGGCAUAAUUUGCACAAGUGGAAGCCCAAUUCUAUAAAGACCUUUACGGUCUUGAGAAAAAGUAUGCUUCCUUCUGCCAGCCUCUGUUUGAUAAGAGCUGACAUCAUCAAUGCAAUUCAUGAGCCCACAGAACGUGAAUGUUAGUGGCCAGUACCUGUUCCAGAAGGAGCCUGGGAGGAGAUGGAAAGAGAGCCUGAAGGGAAGGAGAAACAAAGGGCAUCCCUCGCUUUUGCUUGAGGGCAUUUAAAAACCUAAAGAUUCUCGGUAGCAUGAUCUGGGAAAAUGAUGCACUUGUACUGGAGCACCUGAAAGAUGUAAAAAUAAAAAUUCUCAGGGGUCCGGGAACCAAUGAGCAUCACAGUAGAAUUUCUUUUUAAGUGAAAGGAAUACUUUUUCAACGAAGUUCUGACAGAAACAUACCAGAUGCGGUCAGACCCAGAUGAUUCUGAUCCCUUCUCCAAAGGGCCAGAAAUAAUCAGCAGCACAGGGUGUGAGAUCUACUGGAAAGACGGUAAAGACCUCACCCUGAAAACCCUGAAGCUGCAGAAAUUUCCGGUCCCAAAGUCUGUAUUAUACUUCACAAAAGAAGCGAGUGAUUAUCAGUAUGAAGAGUCUGAUGAGGAGGUCCAAGAAGCUGAAGGUGAGGAGGAGGACAGCGAUAAAAACCAGAAGAAGGACCUGGAAAGGACCUGGACCCAGCAGAGGACAGCCCGGAGAACCCAGCUGUCAAGCAUAGAAAGACAUGAUGGAGGAAGAAACAAUGGACGUGUCCCUCAUGAAUUUGAGAUUUUCGGCUGCUCAGUAGCCACUGGGAAUUUUAUCAACACUGGUUUUGUUCCAGGUUUCAUCAUGUGAAAUGUCUUAUCCACUGACAUCUGACUUUUUUCUUACGUUUGUCAGAUAUAUUUGACUGCGUUUGUUCAUGUUAAAAAUAAAAAUUUGCUAGCCAUGGAUAAGCUGCAGAUUUUUUAGAUGUGUAACACUGAUGCAAAUCUUGUAUCUUUUUGUUUGGGUCCACUUUACUGUCAUUGAAACCAUUUUUUUAAGUUCUUGCAUUGCAGGUGGAUUCUUUACCAACCAAGUUAUCAGGAAGCCUUUUAUUGCAGCCUCAGGUUAAUUAAUAUAUCAAUUGACAAACAAUUUAUGUAAA
rnacentral:lncRNA from 1 species